rnacentral:lncRNA from 1 species
GAAGGAGACGCGUUAAAGAUGGAAGACUUCCAGGCCUCCGAGGAGACUGCAUUUGUUGUUGAUGAAGUGAGCAGCAUUGUAAAGGAGGCUAUAGAAAGCGCCAUCGGUGGUAAUGCCUACCAGCACAGCAAAGUCAACCAGUGGACCACUAAUGUCCUAGAACAGACUUUGAGCCAACUCACCAAACUGGGGAGACCAUUUAAAUACAUUGGUAAUGGAUUUUCAUCUUGUGUAUUUUGAUAGAGGUUCUCUAAAUGUUGAUCUGAGGUGUGUCUGGUGCUGGAAGAAAGGUCACUUAGCAAUUGGUUGUCGAACUUCCAAGAAAGUUUCUCCAGGACCAGGUCCCUUGUGUAGUGAAUGUACCAUGUGCUUUGCAUGUCAGGCUAAUGCCAGUGUCUUAGGGAUUAUGUCAAAGAAGAGUUCAUAGGAUGUCUGAUCAGACAUGUUGAGAACAUGUUAAAAGAAAGGAAAUCGGUAGUUUGUCAAAGUGAGACAGCACAGUCUGCCCCUUAUUUUGUGACUUUUUCUAACACGUUUGUUUAAUUUAAGUGACCUGUGUGAUCAUGCAGAAGAACGGUGCUGGGUUACACUCCGCAAGUUCCUGCUUCUGGGACAGCUCCACAGACGGUAGGACUCUCACCUUCCUAGGCAAUGUUAUUUUGCCCAUAGCUCCAUUUUUGGUGAUCUGCAGCGCUAAGCAGUAUUUUGAAGCGCACACUUAGAUGUUUCAACGUCGAUGCAAUUCUGUAAGUCACCAUUGCCUGUAGAUUGGUGCACAUGCCAUCUCUGUGAGUUUGAGGCCCUAUCUAAAAACAAACAAAAUCUCAAAACAUUCUGGGGGCACUUGCCCAUUUAUAAGUAAAGUUAGGCAGUAAAGUCCCUCUCUGUAUGUCAGGCAUGCAGUGCAGUGCUGGCAUGGUGGGACCCGAAUCUCCUGGGCUGCCUCAUUUCCUGUGCCUGUCUGUGUCCCCCACAGGAAGCUGCACAGUCCGAUGGGAGAACAAGACCAUGUACUGCAUCGUCAGUACCUUCGGACUGUCCAUCUGACCACCUUGCCAGCCUCAGCCUCGUGGUCCCAGCAUUUCCAGUCCAUCUUAACUACCAGCUAUGUUGGGCAAACCCCUUCCUCCUAAGUUGUUCUGUGGCACUCUCAAAAAACCAAAUGACUCCCCAGUCACAGGAACCACAUGACUUCAGCCAGAUUAGCAGCCACCUGUCAUCUGAGACAGGCAGUACCACUUGUCUUAACUGUCUUCUCCAAGGUGCUAAAAACUCAAGUCUGCUGGUGGAAACAGCUCUACUUUCUGAAAUGAUUCAGAUACACUAACUUUCCAUACUUUAUUCUUUCUUAGAAUAAUAAAUUAUUCAAAAUUAAAGUUUUUGUGUUCCUUGUAGCCCGGAGCAUCACCCGAGAAUGAGUUUGAGAAGGGAGAAGGUUGCUUUUAGCCUUCUGCAUGCUGACAUCGAGUAUACCUGAGCUGCUGGUCUCAGGACAGUGCACAGCCAGCUUUGCAGGUCAUGCUUGAAGCCGCGGGCCUGUUUCUUACUGUGAUGGCGAAACCUGCUGACAUUGGCAGAGCUGGAGAGAGGCCACAGACCUCAGGGGCGGGCUAGGCACUUGUGACAUGUGGCCUCACGCAGAGAUCUAGAAAAGUGGCCGAUGUCUGGGGAAAUGGGCUACAUCAGUUUAGCUCUGUUUAAUUUUUUAAUUACAUUUGUGUGUGAGAGCGAGUAAGCAUGCGUCCCAUGGCACACCUGUGGAGUUCAGAGGUCAAAGGCAGUUUGUGGGACUUGGCUCUUUCUCCACCACUGGGUCCCAGGAAUGAACUUAGGUAGGUAGUCAGGGUUGGUGGCAAACCCCUCUACCUGCUGUACCAGCUCACUGGCCCACCAGUUUACUUUCGUUGCACUCACUGCCAGCCUCAGGUGGCACAAACCAGGAAGCAAAAAGAACAGGAGGAAAGCUUACCCUAGCAAUCUGGCAAACAUGUCUGCCCUCUCAGUAGAGGGCAAGAUGAACGAACGCCUUGGUCCUCCAGGAUGGGAAUAGGCCACUUCACCUGUAGGACAGGAACCUAGCCAUGCUGCAAUCCUACAUUCCUAGUCCCUGCUUUCUGGACAUGACGGUUGUGCAAGCCAUGAGCUCCGACCUAUGUCUGCUUGGCCCAGCGCAGUUCGCCUGCUGCUUUCGGACCUAGGCUUUGGCAUUUUAGUAGCAGCAGCAGCUACAUAUUUAGAAUUUUACAGCUUACAGAAUGGUUUCAGGAUUGCUGUGUCCUUAACAAUGCUUAGCUUGGGUAUCACAAAGGGCCCACAGUUUAUCCAGUUAAUUUCAAGUCAUAAAUCCUAGUGAGAAGGGACCCCAACAGACUAGGUUGUCUGUUGACCGCUCUGGGGUGCUCCUUGUGGGCCACCUAAGACACUAUGAUUGGCAUUGCCACUUGGUGUGUGUAUGUCUGAAGGAGUGCACACUCAUGCAUGGUCUUGUGUGUGCCCAGUUCCAGCAUAUUUCCUGAGAUGGGGUCUCUCACUGAACCUGGAGCACACUGUUUGAGCUAAAUUUGCUGGCCACCAAAACAGUGGGACACACCUGUCUCUGCUCCGUUUUCCCAGCCCUGGGGUUACAGACACACACCACUGUGCCUGCUUUUACAUGGAUGCUGCAGCUCUAAACUUGGGCCCUCAUUCUCACAAAGCAAGCAUUUAACCCACUGACCUGUCUCCUCGAUAUCCCUGGCUGAAGAGCCUUGCUGUGGUCUUCUUUCUAAAGCAUUCAUAUAAAAAGCUAGUAAUACAUAAAGAAUUAAAAAUUAGAAAUAUAUUAGCAUCGGUGAACAAGAGACAGUGUCAGAAUGAAGCUGAUAAGGUUUGUUAUGGAUGAGAAAUGUCCCCCAUCGGUGUGUGAUGGUUUGAAUAUGCCUGGCCCAGGGAGUGGCACUGUUAGAAGGUGUGUCACUGUGGGUGUGGGCUUUAAGACCCUCAUUCUAGCUGCCUAGAAGCCAGUAUUCUGCUAGCAGCCUUCAGAUGAAGAUGUAGAACUCUCAGCUCUGCUUGCACCAUGCCUGCUUGGAUGCUGCCAUGCUCCUGCCUUGAUGAUAAUGGACUGAACCUCUGAACCUGUAAGCCAGCCCCAAUUAAAUGUUGUCCUUAUAAGAGUUGCCUUGGUCAUGGUGUCUGUUCACAGCAGUAAAACCCUGUUGCGGCCGGCCUGCAGCUUGCAACGAACGGUUCAGCUGAGAUGGCAACUCGGGCUGAGAGAGAAAAGACUACAAAACCCUAAGACAAGGUGUUCGCAGAGACGCUGUGUGGGGAAACUGAGGAGCGGGAAGGAAGGCGGUGGCCCUGAGGACUUCCAAUGCUGAACUUCAGUGUGGGUGACAUCCGUUUUCCACAGAGCCACACUCCAAACCCAGAACAACCUUGGGGCGAGUCCCUUCAUCUGCAGCUGUCUCUAUAGCCAUUCAAAAUGUCUUACUUUCUCUUUACUUUAGUUCCUAAUUAAAACAGAAAGUCUUUCUGGCAAUAAAGUAUUUCUAAUACAGUUG